rnacentral:rRNA from 1 species
GACGUAGGGCGCGAGCGUGUCCGGAUUUAUUGGGCGUAAAGAGCUCGUAGGCGGCUUGUCGCGUCGUUCGUGAAAACUUGGGGCUCAACCCCCAAGCUUGCGGUCGAUACGGGCAGGCUGGAGUUCGGUAGGGGAGACUGGAAUUCCUGGUGUAGCGGUGGAAAUGCGCAGAUAUCAGGAGGAACACCGGUGGCGAAGGCGGGUCUCUGGGCCGAUACUGACGCUGAGGAGCGAAAGCGUGGGGAGCGAACAGG